rnacentral:rRNA from 1 species
CCUUGCCAGCCCGCUCAGAAACUUAAUGAAUUGACGGGGGCCCGCACAAGCGGAGGAGCAUGUGGUUUAAUUCGAUGAUACGCGAGGAACCUUACCUGGGCUCGAACGUAAGAUGACUGUAGGUGAAAGCUUACAUCUCUUCGGAGCAUUUUACGAGGUGCUGCAUGGUUGUCGUCAGCUCGUGCCGUGAGGUGUCGGGUUAAGUCCCAUAACGAGCGCAACCCCUACCUUUAGUUGCCAUCAGGUAAUGCUGGGGACUCUAAAGGAACUGCCUACGCAAGUAGUGAGGAAGGCGGGGAUGACGUCAAAUCAGCACGGCCCUUACGUCCAGGGCUACACACGUGCUACAAUGGCCGAUACAGAGGGCAGCUACCUGGUGACAGGAUGCAAAUCUCCAAAGUCGGUCUCAGUUCGGAUCGGAGUCUGCAACCCGACUCCGUGAAGUUGGAUUCGCUAGUAAUCGCGCAUCAGCCAUGGCGCGGUGAAUACGUUCCCGGGCCUU